rnacentral:rRNA from 1 species
UACGUAGGGGGCAAGCGUUGUCCGGAUUUAUUGGGCGUAAAGAGCGUGUAGGCGGCCAAGCAGGUCCGCUGUGAAAACUCGAGGCUCAACCUCGAGACGUCGGUGGAAACCGUUUGGCUAGAGUCCGGAAGAGGAGAGUGGAAUUCCCGGUGUAGCGGUGAAAUGCGUAGAGAUCGGGAGGAACACCUGUGGCGAAGGCGGCCGGCUGGGGGUACCCUGACGCUGAGGCGCGACAGCGUGGGGAGCGAACCGG